UCCGGGUGCUCCCUCCA
rnacentral:piRNA from 1 species